UACGAAGGGGGCUAGCGUUGUUCGGAAUUACUGGGCGUAAAGGGCGCGUAGGCGGUACUUCAAGUCAGGCGUGAAAGCCCCGGGCUCAACCUGGGAACCGCGCUUGAGACUGGAGAACUAGAGUUCGGGAGAGGAUGGUGGAAUUCCCAGUGUAGAGGUGAAAUUCGUAGAUAUUGGGAAGAACACCGAUGGCGAAGGCAGCCAUCUAGACCGACACUGACGCUGAGGCGCGAAAGCGUGGGGAGCAAACAGG
rnacentral:rRNA from 1 species